rnacentral:rRNA from 1 species
AUACGUAGGUGACAAGCGUUAUCCGGAUUUACUGGGCGUAAAGGGCGUGUAGGCGGUCUUGCAAGUCAGAAGUGAAAUUCCUGAGCUCAACUCGGGCGCUGCUUCUGAAACUGCAGGACUUGAGUGCUGGAGGGGAUAGCGGAAUUCCUAGUGGAGCGGUAAAAUGCGCAGAUAUUAGGAAGAACACCGGUGGCGAAGGCGGCUAUCUGGACAGUAACGGACGCUGAGGCGCGAAAGCGUGGGGAGCAAACAGGAUUAGAUCCCCUGGUAGUCCACGCCGUAAACGAUGAAUACUAGGUGUAGGGGGUAUCGACUCCCUCUGUGCCGCAGUUAACACAAUAAGUAUUCCGCCUGGGGAGUACGGCCGCAAGGUUGAAACUCAAAUGAAUUGGCGGGG